CGUAGGGUGCGAGCGUUAAUCGGAAUUACUGGGCGUAAAGCGUGCGCAGGCGGUUUGUUAAGAUAGGCGUGAAAUCCCCGGGCUCAACCUGGGAACUGCGCUUAUGACUGGCAAGCUAGAGUACGGCAGAGGGGGGUGGAAUUCCACGUGUAGCAGUGAAAUGCGUAGAGAUGUGGAGGAACACCAAUGGCGAAGGCAGCCCCCUGGGUCGAUACUGACGCUCAUGCACGAAAGCGUGGGUAGCAAACGGGAUUAGAUACCCUGGUAGUCCACGCCCCUAAACGAUGUCAACUAGGUGUUGGGAGGGUAAAACCUUUUAGUACCGGAGCUAACGCGUGAAGUUGACCGCCUGGGGAGUACGGCCGCAAGGUUAA
rnacentral:rRNA from 1 species